rnacentral:lncRNA from 1 species
GACUUUACAGUUGUAAGGAGUUUAAAAUAUCUAUCUGUCUGUCUGUCUGUCUAUCCAUCUAUCAUCUGUCUAUCUAUCUACCCAUCCAUUUAUCUACUAUCUAUCUAUCCAUCCAUUUAUCUACUAUCUAUCUAUCUAUCUAUCUAUCUAUCUAUCUAUCUAUCUAUCUAUCUAUCUAUUGUCUGUCUAUCUAUUUAUUUUAGUACAGAGAAAUGUGAGAAUGGACAGAGGCUGAGACAGUGAUGCUGAUGCAGUCCAUUGGUAAGUGGGAUACUCUACCUCUGGAGACAGGAGGUAAUCGAGGACACCAGCCGUCAUAUUACUCAAUGCUUCAUUACUUGGAACAAAAAUGGUGUAUGGCUCAUCAAUACCACCCUUCUCCAGGGCUUGUCCAACAUUGGUUUUCUGCAUUUGGGAAAAUAAAUGUUAUAUUCUUCUUCAUUGAAUG